GGGGGGGGAAAUCCAGCUCACAUUUCACGCUCACCAGAAUAGCGCUUGUGAGACAUUCCAGCUGCCUUCAGCCCUAACCUCAGUUUAGAAUGUUACAUCCUAAAUUACAAGGUAUGGAUGUGUGUGUGUGUAUCCUGACAUACACACACACAUACACAAAACCAUUUAACAGGGUAUGAUGAAAUAAGAACCAGCGAUAAGUUGCCACUUGGCCUCAAAUUACCCAAUGAAUGGUGGCUUCCAGAAUUGUUAGAAGGAGGAGACUCUUGAGAGUCCCAUGGACUGCAAGAAGAUCAAACCUAUCCAUCCUUAAGGAAAUCAGCCCUGAAUGCUCACUGGAAGAACAGAUCCUGAAGCUGAGGCUCCAAUACUUUGGCCACCUCGUGAGAAGAGAAGACUCCCUGGAAAAGACCCUGAUGUUGGGAAAGAUUGAGGGCACAAGGAGAAGGGGACGACAGAGGACGAGAUGGUUGGACAUUGUUCUCGAGGCUACGAACAUGAGUUUGACCAAACUGCGGGAGGCAGUGGAAGACAGGAGUGCCUGGCAUGCUCUGGUCCAUGGGGUCACAAAGAGUCAGACACGACUAAACGACUAAACAGCAACAAGUCUUCAAAUCGGAACAGGCCUGAAAUCUCCAAAGUGAUAGCUCUUAGGAUCACGAAAGGUACCAGUAAGCUCAGCAUGAUGGGACAACAUGGAGACAGUAGGUUCCAUCCACCAAACAGUGUCUUCUUCAAGUUUUCUUACCAGCUUAGCUGCCAGCUACUCAGAGUUACUAGGGAGGGAGAGAGAAAAGGUUUAUGAGUUUCCCACAAGACAGUGCGGUACCAGUAGGAACUCUGAUCCCAAAUCUCUGGCCCAUGGCAUGUCUCAGAGGAAAUGACUGAGGCCUGGAAGAACAGCCAGAUGUCAGUCUCUUUUCCUGGUGGACUUCUUUGCAUAGGCUGCUGCUGCUGCUCUCACAGCUUCUGGGGGCUGAUGCAGAAGGUAGAAGUGUUUGCAAACCUCUUUUCAGUCCCCAGACAUUUCAACAUUACACAUGUCAGUGGCACAGUGCUGGCAGGGAAGGGAAACAGCUCCGCCUUGCAUGGAGAUUGUAAAGCAAUUCAAUUCGGUUUCCAUUUAAAGAACUUUCUCACUUCCCAAAAUAACGCCCCAUUUGAAACCUGCACUUCUCUGGAUGUUGCAAAGCAGUUCUUUCAUCAGGCAAUGUGCCCAAAAUGCACCGAGUUGGGCUCAGUGUGGAUAAAAUGCAUAUAUUUGUGAAAACAACACACCAAUAAUGCAUUAUAUUAGAGAAAAUGGUUUGCAAAAAAAAUGCAUAUUCAUUUAAAAAAAUACUUGCAUCCAUUCAGAGAAAUUAAUACUAAAAUGCUGAUGAAUUAGGACCUUUUUUAAAAGAGGGGGGUGGGCCCGCACAAACUGAUGUGGAAAAGAACUGAGCAUAACAAUGGAAAAAUGAAAAACCAAAAUUGACUGAUUCCCAUCCCUCAGGCAUGUCCAAAGCCCGUUUUGGGGGCCAGUUGGCUUAAUCCAGCCCCUGUGGCAGUUUAUUUCCUGGGGUAAAAUCAUAAAAAAGCCUCAACAACUUCAAUCCUAAAAAAAGGUUAACAACUUCAUCAAAUCUGGCCCUCUUUGAAAAAAGUUUGGACACCACUGCAAGCCUUAGGCACACCAUAUUCUGAUGAAAUAGUGAGCUUGGACAGCAAACAGGUGGCCAGAAAAGUCCACCCUGGGCCUAUGAAUGAGCCCCUAAAUCUUGAUGCGUUGGAGAGGCAAGCCAGGAUGCAAAAUGCCAUGUGCGUCUGGGAGCCUUUCACUCCUGCCGUCCUACUAAUGCACUCAUGCAGCUCUCCAUAUCCCCUAAAAAGCCGCUUUUGGAAGCUGGGGGAGCCAGCAGGGCGGCAUUACAUGAGGCACAAGGUGAUGCUGCUGGGAAAGUCAAUCAGCAAUAUGCACCCCCAAUGUGUAUGCAGAAGGCAUGGGUCUCUCCAGACUCCUGCCUCUCCUUGUCUCAUGUUUUAUGUACAACCACCAGUGCCAGAUAUUAGCUGCAGCUCAAGAGGGCAUAGCUAGAAGGCCUUGGCCAUGAGACCGAGGUCUGUGCGCAUGUGGGCACAGGCGCAUAGUGUGCAGGCCCCUAAUGGCUGCUUAGCAAGGAGUAGAGCAUGAGCGGUGAUUACAGACCUCAGUAAAUUUUUGCCCAUGCUUUCUUUUCCCCCCAGUUUAAAAACUUUAUAGCAGCACACAUUUUUCGUAGGUUCCGCUUUCUCUCGUUAAAACUCAAAUGAACUCUUAAAAUGAAGCAUCAACAUUAUACAGGCCACAGGAAGAAUUAAUGUGACUGGAGAUUGUGAAAUCAGCUGAGCAUCAUCUCUUUUUCUUCUCUUUUUCCUCCUAGGGUGAUACCUAGAGACAGAGACAGAGCUGACAACGCCAGAAGAUGUCAAUGCCAUGCAGAGAGAAGAUAAAUUUAGAGUGAAUGAUUUCCCAGUUAUGCAGGGACCAACAGAGAGUUUAUAAUAAAACAAUUUAAACACA